AUGUUGGGGUAGCAGAUUCGCCUCACAUUCAUAGAUAGAUACGUACCCUUUACUAAUUCUGGAUAUGAUAAGAAAUUCGGCAUCAAUCAAAUGACAAUUGACAUCAUGAAUGAAACCUACGUGAAUACCAGACAUUAGGUUAGUUAUUUUGUGAAAUAGAUUUUGAUAGACCGAUCUAAAUAUUCGGUCAUCAAAUAAUUCAGUUGUUGUAGCUUAUAAAUGGGGUUGAAACGAAUGUCCAUGUUUCAGUAUCACUGCACCUGCCCUUAACAAUAAAAAUUCCAAAUUGAAGUGUGCGAGCGGAACGAACGAGGUCCGAGCUACGGCCGAGGUGAAUCGAUAACCAACGAUGUGGAAUUUAUAAAAAUGUCCGGCGGGCGGCGGCCGCGGAGAGCGUCUGCGCUCUUGCUUUUUCACGUGUUUCUCGGUGCGCGCUGCUCGCACGCGCGGCAGCGAGGCGCGUGCGAGCGAGACAGGCGCCGUGGCUUGCUUCCCGGUGCGCGCGUGUGUCUGCCGCUGUGCACGCAGACAUGUUUGCUCGAUGCCCUCGUUGCGGUGUGACGUCUACUCGAUUGAGAUAUUUAUAACGCCGACAUUAGCAGUUUUACUACAAAUUUUAUGAAGUUAGUGUUUUCAAAUAUAUUAUGGACAUCGUUUGUUAGUAAAAAGGUAAAUUGGAAUUGGUAGUUACAUAGAAGGGUUCGAGUUUGGUUCGUUGAAGUAUUCGGUUAGCAAUGUCAGCCGGCAGCGGCAAGCGGAAGAAGGCGACGGACAGCGGGGGCGAGGAGAGCGGCGCGGGCGAGGUGGGCCGGCUGGUGGACUGCAGCCAGGCCGACGACCGGCGCAUGAUCCGGCUGGUGCGCGAGCGGCCGCUGCUGUACGCGCGCAACAACAUGCCCGUCGCCAGCUACUACGCGCGCGUCAAGAAGCUGUGGCAGCAGGUCGCCGACCUCAUGGGCUGGACCGUGCCGGAGGUGCGGCGCAAGUGGUCGCACAUCCGCAACUCGUACUCGCGCCACCUGCGCAACGAGAUGUACGGCGUGCGCACCGGCCGCGGCCGCAUCGUCUCCAAGUGGUACCUGGCCGACGAGCUGGACUUCCUGCGCGAGCACAUGGCCACGGACACGAGGCCGGCAUCGCGCUACUCGUUCCCGCUGUUCGAGGCGGAGGCGGCGCCGGAGCUGCCGGCGCUGCUGUCCAGCCCGUGGCUGGCGCUGGCGGGCGCCGCACGCCGCGCCGCCGCCGCGCUCGGGGGAGCCGCAGCUGCGUCCGGAGGACUCCUCCAGCCCGCACUCCUUCGACCCCGACGAGAACUCUGCCUACUUCCAUUUCUUUCGUGGAAUCCACAACGACUAUCAGGAGUUGCCCGCUAAGAAGCAGAGGUUGUUCCGGCGCGAGUGCCUCGCCUUCCUGCACCGGCUGCUGGACGAGGAGGAGCCUGUCGGCCAGCAGGAGGCGCCGGGCUCCGACGACGAGCGGGAGUGCAAGCCGUGCAUCGUGGACCACUCGGUGCGCAGCGUGUCCGCCGAGCCGGAGCCCGACCCCGACGCUCGCUGAGCGACUGCUCCUCUCGCUAACCUAGUCUAAUUGAUAAUCUUAAUAUAGAAUAGUACGUCAUGGUCUAUAAUACGUAAAAUGAUGUUUGUUCGCGACACGAAUUAACAAAAUAUUGAAUACAUUUAUGGAUGAACAUGCAUGAUGUUAUA